AUGCGGAUUAAUUCGAUGCAACGCGAAGAACCUUACCAAGGCUUGACAUACACCGGUAACGCCCAGAGAUGGGUGCCCCUUUGUGGUCGGUGGACAGGUGGUGCAUGGUUGUCGUCAGCUCGUGUCGUGAGAUGUUGGGUUAAGUCCCGCAACGAGCGCAACCCUCGUCCUAUGUUGCCAGCGGGUCAUGCCGGGGACUCAUGGGAGACGUGCCGGGGUCAACUCGGAGGAAGGUGGGGAUGACGUCAAAUCAUCAUGCCCCUUAUGUCUUGGGCUUCACGCAUGCUACAAUGGCCGGUACAAAGGGCUGCGAUACCGCGAGGUGGAGCGAAUCCCAGAAAGCCGGUCUCAGUUCGGAUUGGGGUCUGCAACUCGACCCAUGAAGUCGGAGUCGCUAGUAAUCGUGGAUCAGAAUGUCACGGUGAAUACGUUCCCGGGUCUU
rnacentral:rRNA from 1 species